rnacentral:rRNA from 1 species
UACGGGGGGGGCAAGCGUUGUUCGGAAUUACUGGGCGUAAAGGGCUCGUAGGCGGCCAACUAAGUCAGACGUGAAAUCCCUCGGCUUAACCGGGGAACUGCGUCUGAUACUGGAUGGCUUGAGUUUGGGAGAGGGAUGCGGAAUUCCAGGUGUAGCGGUGAAAUGCGUAGAUAUCUGGAGGAACACCGGUGGCGAAGGCGGCUAUCUGGACAGAAACUGACGCUGAGGCGCGAAAGCUAGGGGAGCAAACAGG